rnacentral:rRNA from 1 species
CCUACGGGAGGCAGCAGUAAGGAAUAUUGCGCAAUGGACGAAAGUCUGACGCAGCAACGCCGCGUGUAGGAUGAAGGCUCUUUGAGUCGUAAACUACUGUAGCAGGGGAAUAAUACUUCGCUUUGCGAAGGGAGAAGGUACCCUGAAAGUAAGCCACGGCUAACUACGUGCCAGCAGCCGCGGUAAUACGUAGGUGGCAAGCGUUGUCCGGAUUUACUGGGUGUAAAGGGUGCGCAGGCGGAUCUGUAAGUCAGAGGUGAAAUCUCACAGCUUAACUGUGAAACUGCCUUUGAUACUGCAGAUCUUGAGUUCGGGAGAGGUUGAUGGAAUUCCAGGUGUAGCGGUGAAAUGCGUAGAUAUCUGGAAGAACACCAGUGGCGAAGGCGGUCAACUGGCCCGUAACUGACGCUCAGGCACGAAAGCGUGGGUAGCAAACAGGAUUAGAUACCCUGGUAGUCCACGCCCUAAACGAUGAAUACUUGGUGUUGGUCUUAAUUGAUCAGUGCCGUAGGUAACCUGUUAAGUAUUCCACCUGGGGAGUACGCUCGCAAGAGUGAAACUCAAAGGAAUUGACGG